UUCAAACAGCUCCUGAAGCUAAAGAGACAUUCCAGUUUCUCCCCAUGUGUGUGGACAACAGUUUGGGUUGGAAGAGACCUUUUAAACAUCUAGUCCAACCCUUCUACCAUGGGCAGGGACCCAUUCUAAUAGACCAGGUUUAUGUCAUUCCUGCACUGAGGACCCUAGAGAUGGAAGCAAUACUCUAGGAAAAUGUAUCAAACCUGAGUCGUUAAUACCAGGAACAGUUCUGGACUACCAGCCAGCAUACUUACAUAGGACACUACAUCAGUAAUAAAUGCAGUACAAGAUCAGAUUGUUUUGAGGUCCACAAUAAAUCAGGUAUCAAAACUAUUGCUAUUUUUCAUAGUACUGCUUUUGCAAAGGUAGUUGAUACUUUGACCGCUCAUUUGUACUUUCCA